AUAUCAUCUGAAUACGGCUCGAAACAAUCGUGAAAUAUUGCCCCAGUAACUUCGCUCGGUUGUGUGUGUUUCCGUGUUUUGUCUCCCGCGUGUUUUCAUUGGCCAAUGUCCGGGCGACGUCGCGGACGGAGGACGCAGCCAAUAUGGCGACCGCUUGGAUGUCGUAGAAUGAGACUUCUGCAAAUUGGCACAUGGAUGACGCGCUUCCCGCUCGCAUUUAUUUUUUCGUGGGAGCUUUUGGUGUAAACCUUAUUGCAGCCCUCAAAGUCGCAGCGGUGGAUUCUUCGCUUUUUGGAAUCGGGCGACUCCGACCUCCGGGGACGUCGUAUGCUGUCAAUGCUGAAAGGCGACAUUGAACUGCAACACAAGAGAAGAUGAGACUUGAUCCAGGAAGACGGCAGCAGGAAAAACAAACUUGUUGCGUGAAAAUGAAACCAGGGUUGCAGUGGAGCGGCGAAGAAGAGAAGGCGAGAGGAUAAAUUCAUCGAGAAAAACAAAAGGUUUCAGCCUUUUUCACAGGAAACAGCGAGAACCGAGCGCUCUUGCCAAUUGACCCCUCCGUACGGGGCACUUAACCACGCCCCCGGAAGUGACGUCACGUCACUCCACGUGCGCUGACGUAGGACAAACAGUAAAAAUGGCCAAUACAAUACAUUCUGAACUGAGACAGACUCCAUGCUUCUGAUUUCAUUCAAUCGUUCACACGUAGCAGUGUUAUGCUAGCGGAGAACGUCUCAUUCAUUUAUACGAGACGUGUAUUAAAAAUCAAAUUUAGGGCAUAUCUUGGUGCAAACACAUUCUGGUUAAGCUUCGGCCGCGAGCCAGCAAGAAAGCGACACGUUUGUGCAGUCCGAUCAUCGCUAAAUAUCGCUCAACAAAGAAUAAGUGUGGCAAUCGUUCACACGUAGCAGUGUUAUGCUAGCGGAGAACGUCUCAUUCAUUUAUACGAGACGUGUAUUAAAAAUCAAAUAUAGGGCAUACCUUGGUGCAAACAUAUCAGUUCCGGUUGAUAUUAGAUGGAUUUAGUUGAUGAUGCGGUCUUCCACAAAGUUUGAUCCAUCGAAGGCAUUUUUCGAACCGGGUCUUCGGUUUUGGAAAGGGUAGGAAUCGAACUCCACCAACUCGCCUUUCAGGAUACCCGUCGUCACUAUUACAAAGUCCGUGACUACACCUCUUAAUCAUAUUUUUUGUUAAAUAACCCAAAUACGCGAUAAAACGCUAACUAAACCUAUACUGGACCAUGCAAUGUUGUCUGAGAAAAUGGCGGGAGCAAAAACCGGCUUUGGUUGAUGCGGAUCUCUGGCCUCUGAUUGGUCAGUGACGCGGAUUGCGCAAUGUCCACGGAGGGGUCAAUUGCUGUCAGUGUCAGCUGAGGACGAUGCGGUACGCAUCAAGUUCCGUGACGCUUUGUAAACUAUGUUAAAUGUUAAUCAAUGCUUUGAUCAAAAGUUAAAGAUGAUAUGAUUGAUCUUCAUUUUAAGGAAGCAGAAGAACUUUCUCACAUUCACAUCUUUGCAGCACACCGAUGUGGACGGGUCCCACGACUGUGUUUGGGCCCGGACCACAAAAUGACAAAAUAUGCUUUUCUAUGU